rnacentral:ncRNA from 2 species
UUCAACUACUAGGGGGGCCUUGUUACAGGCUGAGAGGAAAGCGUAAAGCUUUUCGACUCUUAUGAACCUGAUCUGGUUAAUACCAGCGGAGGGAAGUAGUCAGACGAACGA